CUGGCUCAGGACGAACGCUGGCGGCGUGCCUAAUACAUGCAAGUCGAACGGUCUUUCUAUGGAAGCUUGCUUCCACUGAGAAGAUAGUGGCGAACGGGUGAGUAACACGUGGGUAACCUGCCCAUAAGAGGGGGAUAACAUCCGGAAACGGGUGCUAAUACCGCAUAGUUUUCUUGAUCGCAUGAUUGAGAAAGGAAAGACGGCCUUUGUGCUGUCGCUUAUGGAUGGACCCGCGGCGUAUUAGUUAGUUGGUGAGGUAACGGCUCACCAAGGCGAUGAUACGUAGCCGACCUGAGAGGGUGAUCGGCCACAUUGGGACUGAGACACGGCCCAAACUCCUACGGGAGGCAGCAGUAGGGAAUCUUCCGCAAUGGACGAAAGUCUGACGGAGCAACGCCGCGUGAGUGAAGAAAAGGUUUUCGGAUCGUAAAACUCUGUUGUCAGAGAAGAACAAGUUGGAGAGUAACUGCUCCAGCCUUGACGGUAUCUGACCAGAAAGCCACGGCUAACUACGUGCCAGCCGCCGC
rnacentral:rRNA from 1 species